UCAAUUGUAUAUUGUUGUUAUUCGAUCUUUGACUUAAAUAACCUUGCUCAAUUCUAUAUUAUUGUAUUGAACCUUCAAGUAGCAAGAAAACUCUCAUUGAUUGAAUUGGUCUAUAAUUCAAUAGUGUUCUAAAACUCUAGAACCACUGAUAAGCUAGUUCCAAACUAAACUUUCUUUAGUGCAUAAAUUCUAAAUUCAAACUGAGAUGAACAACCCUAACAUAGGGGAUUAUGUACGUGUAACGUUUAGAUGUUUGUGCACAAUAAAUGGUACAAAGGGCUGAUCCCCCAAAGUACGUAA
rnacentral:lncRNA from 1 species